rnacentral:rRNA from 1 species
GACUAGCCAAUGAAAUUGAUCCUUCAGUACAAAAGCUGAAAUUAACCCAUAAGACGAGAAGACCCUGUGGAGCUUCAAAACCAAAACCACCAAACAUGCUUCCUGGUUUUUUAGUUGGGGCGACUUUGGAGCAAAAAAAACCCUCCAAAACACAAAUCCAUUUAUUAAGACUAACACAUCAAAAAUAAUAUCAUAGACCCAGCAGUACCUAUUUACUGCCUGACCAAUGAACCAAGUUACCCCAGGGAUAACAGCGCCAUCCUCUUCUAGAGUCCUUAUCGACAAGAGGGUUUACGACCUCGAUGUUGG